ACGCUCGACACCUACGAGAGGCAGCAGUGGGGAAUAUUGCACAAUGGGGGAAACCCUGAUGCAGCGACGCCGCGUGAAGGAAGAAGUAUCUCGGUAUGUAAACUUCUAUCAGCAGGGAAGAAAAUGACGGUACCUGACUAAGAAGCCCCGGCUAACUACGUCNCGCAGCCGCGGUAAUCUGAGCGGGCUGGCAAGGC
rnacentral:rRNA from 1 species